GGAAUUCAGGUAUGAGUAUGCUUCUCGUGUUAGUAAGCAGUAGUAGUGCUGAGUCUGUUAGGUGAACACCUUCUAGAUGGCGUGGUCCUACAGUAUACAGAAGAACUCAUAAAUCUGUUUGAAGUUUUCUGUCACUGUACUCACAAAGCCUUUACAAAUAUUUAUUAAGACCUCUUUGAAAACCUUGCAUCAGUUUGAGAGAGAUGACUGCUGAUCAAACUAUUGUUUCUAAACAGUGUUAUGACUUAGUUGUGGGAGGGAUAGUUUGCGAAUUUGUGUAGCUUCACUGCUAAUACUGCGUUCAGUUUUACAAACAGUUUCUUUUUAAUACUACUUCUUACAACUGGAUUUUCUGUCCUGUUAAAAGCAUCCCAAAGCAUAAUUUGUCGGCUUCUAAACAUUCAUUUAGCAUUAUCUAGGCUAUAAUGUAUAUUGAAAAAUAUCAAAUAGUCCAAAUAAUAUUAUGUUUUUCUUGAGCAGGUUGCAAGCUAGCCUGUAUAGUAAAGAAAAAGGUAUUAAAGCAUACUUUAGAACCUACAUUGGUAUCGAAGCAGUAAGUUAAUUUUUGAAUCUGUUAACCUUCAUUUGCUAACCUUGACCUAGUCAUGUUAGCAUACAAAGUAGAACUUUGUAUAGCUACAAGGAUUGUUUUAUCAGUGCUUUAAAACAAAAUUGCUUAAACAACUAUAAAUAGUUCAAUACUAUACAGUAAGUUUUCAGAUCUCCUGGCAGCCAGAACCUACUUCAGCUUCAAUCUGAAGCCAACCAACCAAAGUCACCAGCCAAAUCUCUUUGAUUUUUAUUGGAGGUUGCCUGAAAUUAUCAUCUGCCAGCAAACAUCUUUACUGAGUAUGUCAGUGCAAAAAAUUCGAAGCAUUUUUAGAAAAUAAAAUUACCGAAGAAAACAGCCAGACGUUACCCAGCAUAUGAGCUCUAUCUCUAUGGAGAAGGAAAUUACGCUGAAGCAAACAAAAAUCUAAUAUUGACAGGAAUUCCGGUUCUCUUUCUUCCUGGAAAUGCUGGAAGUUACAAACAAGGUAAGCAUUUAGCUAGAUUGUGGUUAUGUUACAAAGCUC
ensembl:lncRNA